rnacentral:rRNA from 1 species
UACGUAGGCAGCGAGCGUUGUUCGGAGUUACUGGGCGUAAAGGGUGUGUAGGCGGUUGUUUAAGUUUGGGGUGAAAUCUCCCGGCUCAACUGGGAGGGUGCGCCGAAUACUGACUGACUUGGAGUGCGGGAGAGGUGAGUGGAAUUCCUGGUGUAGCGGUGAAAUGCGUAGAUAUCAGGAGGAACACCGGUGGUGUAGACGGGUUGCUGGGCUGACACUGACGCUGAGUGCGCGAAAGCUAGGGUAGCAAACGGG